UACAGAGGGUGCGAGCGUUAAUCGGAAUUACUGGGCGUAAAGCGUGCGUAGACGGUUUCGUAAGUCGGGUGUGAAAUCCCCGGGCUCAACCUGGGAAUUGCAUUCGAAACUGCGAGGCUAGGGUACGGAAGAGGGAAGCGGAAUUUCUGGUGUAGCAGUGAAAUGCGUAGAUAUCAGAAGGAACAUCAGUGGCGAAGGCGGCUUCCUGGACCAAUACUGACGAUCAGGUGCGAAAGCGUGGGGAGCAAACAGG
rnacentral:rRNA from 1 species